rnacentral:sRNA from 1 species
GCUGGGCAUGGUGGGGCAUGCCUGUAGUCCACUACUCUGGAGGCUGAGGCAGGAGGAUCGCUUGAACCCAGGGAUUCAAUGCCAGCCUGGGCAGCAUAGUGAGACCCCAUCUCAA